rnacentral:sRNA from 1 species
GAUACCAGAGGACAAAGGUCUGCAUCCACGGGAGCUUGCUCACAAGUGGAUGAAAGACCUUGGGACUCGCCCAGACAUGAGCAUAAAAGCGGGAUGGUAAUCCCGCGAUAUGCGAAUGGAUGUGUGAAUUGUGAGAGUGCGGAGCACGAAGCAAUUCACAGGUA